CGUCCCCCUGUUGGACUUCCCUCCCCCUUCCUCGCGCUUUUAGACUUCCCUACCCGCGAUGGAGGAAAGAACUUCCCGGAAUCUUAUCGCCCGUGGACUUCCCUGGAAGUGGGACGUCGAGUACCUUCGAGACGAAUCGACCCAUCAUCACCACUCCCAAUCAACGCGGCCAUCGAUAAUUGUAGAUUUGAUUUAACAAUAAGUUAUG
ensembl:ncRNA lncRNA:CR45627 long non-coding RNA:CR45627